GCUCCCCUAGCUCAAUUGGAUAGAGCGACUGUCUUCGGAACAGUAGGCUGUGGGUUCGAGUCCCUCGGGGAGUA
rnacentral:tRNA from 1 species